UCCUACGGGGGGCAGCAGUGGGGAAUAUUGCACAAUGGGGGAAACCCUGAUGCAGCAACGCCGCGUGAGUGAAGAAGUCAUUCGUGAUGUAAAGCUCUAUCAGCAGGGAAGAAAAUGACGGUACCUGAGUAAGAAGCCCCGGCUAACUACGUGCCAGCAGCCGCGGUAAUACGUAGGGGGCAAGCGUUAUCCGGAUUUACUGGGUGUAAAGGGAGCGUAGACGGCCAGACAAGUCUGAAGUGAAAAUCCAG
rnacentral:rRNA from 1 species